rnacentral:tRNA from 1 species
GGGGAGGAAGCUUUUAAGAAGCGUGAUGUUUUUAGUGUUAUGAAGUUCUGUUACGUAGGACUCUCCUUA